AUCCCGGUGUGCCCUGGGCACCCUCCAGUAUCCCGGUGUGCCUUGGGCACCCUCUGGCACCCCGGUAUUCCUUGGGCAUCCUCUGGUAUCCCGGUGUGCCUUGGGCACCCUCUGGCACCCCGGUAUUCCUUGGGCAUCCUCUGGUAUCCCAGUGUGCCUUGGGCACCCUCUGGCAUCCCGGUAUUCCUUGGGCAUCCUGUGGCCCCCCAGUGUGUUUGGAGCAUCCUCUGGUAUCCCAGAUCUGGCAUUCCUUGGGCACCCUCUGGUCUCCUGGAUCUGGUGUGCCCUGGGCAUCCCCUGGUAUCCCAAAUCCUUCACGCCUUGGGCAUCCUGCGACCCCCCCGGUGUGUUCGGAGCAUCCUUUGGCAUCCCGGAUCCAUCGUGUCCCAGGAAUCCUUUGGCAUCCCAGAUCCAUCGUGUCCCAGGAAUCCUUUGGCAUCCCGGAUCCAUCGUGUCCCAGGAAUCCUUUGGCAUCCUGGAUCCAUUGUGUCCCAGGAAUCCUUUGGCAUCCUGGAUCCAUCGUGUCCCAGGAAUCCUUUGGCAUCCUGGAUCCGUUGUGUCUCUGGAAUCCUUUGGCAUCCCAGAUCCAUCGUGUCCCAGGAAUCCUUUGGCAUCCUGGAUCCGUUGUGUCCCAGGAAUCCUUUGGCAUCCUGGAUCUGCUGUGCCUUGGGCAUCCCAGAUCCUGGUGGGCCUUGAGCAUCCCGUGGUAUCCCAGAUCCGUCACAUCCCGGGCAUCCUGGGGCAUCUCAGUGUGUUUGGGGCACCCUUUGGGAUCCUGGAUCCAUCACGUCUCCAGAAUCCUUUGGCAUCCCGGAUCUGCUGUGCCUCGGGCACCCUCAGGCCUCCCAGACCCAUCACACCUCGGGAAUCUUUUGGCAUCCUGGAUCCAUCACACCUCGGGAAUCCUUUGGCCUCCUGGAUCCAUCACCUUGGGAAUCCUUUGGCAUCCUGGGGCAUCCUUUGGGAUCCAUCACACCUCGGGAAUCCUUUGGCAUCCCGGAUCCAUCACACUCUGGGAAUCCUUUGGCAUCCUGGGGCAUCCCGGUGUGUUCGGGGCACCCUUCAUGAUCCUGGAUCCGUCGUGUCUCCAGAAUCCUUUGGCAUCCCAG
rnacentral:lncRNA from 1 species